UACAGAGGUCCCAAGCGUUGUUCGGAUUCAUUGGGCGUAAAGGGUGUGUAGGUGGCGCCGUAAGUCGGGUGUGAAAUCUCGGGGCUUAACCGGAAAAGUGCCUUGGAUACUGGUGGUCUCGAGUGAGGUAGGGGCAUGUGGAACUUCUGGUGGAGCGGUGAAAUGCGUUGAUAUCAGAAGGAACUCCGGUGGCGAAAGCGACGUGCUGGACCUCUUCUGACGCUGAGGCGCGAAAGCUAGGGGAGCGAACGGG
rnacentral:rRNA from 1 species